ensembl:lncRNA
CUAAAAACCAUGCUUUAUUAUACAUUUAUUUAAUAAAAAUGAUAUAUGUUUAAGGUGUACAACUUGGUGUUUUGAGAUACAUAUACAUAAUGAAAUGGUUACUACAGUCAAGCUAAUUAACAUGUCCAUCUCUUCAUAUACUUUUUUUCCCCCUGUGGUCAGAGCACCUGAAAUCAACUUCUGUGGCAAAUUUACAGUAUUCAAUACAGUAAUAACUAUAGUCCUCAUAUGGUCCAUUAGCUCUCCAGACUCAUUCACCCUUCAUCAAUGCAACUCUGUAGUCUCUGGCCAACAUCUCCCCAUUUCCCCCAUCUCUACCAUUGUUCUUCACUCUGCUUCCAUGAAUUAAACUUUUUUAGGUUCUAUACAUAAGUGAGAUCAUGUGGCAUUUUUCUUUCUGUGUCUGACUUAUUUCGGUUAGUAUAAUGUUCUCCUUUCAUCCAUGCUGUUGCAAACGGCAACAUUUUUGUAUCACAGUAACAUUUAUAUGUCACAACUUCAUUAUCCAUUCACCCAUCAAGGAACACUCAUGUUUUGUUUCCAUAUCUUGGCUGUUGUGAAUAAUACUGUGAUCAAGAUGGAAGUGCAGAUAUCUCUUUAUGACAUUGAUUUUAUUUCCUUUUGAUAUACUGCCCAGAAGAUGCACUGCUAAAUCAUAUGGUAGUUCUACUGUUAAUUUUUAAAGGAACCUCUAUACUGUUUUCCAAUGGCAUCACCAACUCGAUGGACAUGAGUUUGAGCAAGCUCAGGAGUGGUGAUAGACAGUGAAGCCUGGCAUGAUGCAGUCCAUGGGAUCACAAAGAGUCAUACACGACUGAGCGACUGAACUGAAAUUAACUGAUACUGCUUUCUUUAAUGGCUGUACCUAUUUACAUUCGAACCAACAGUGUACAAGGAUCCCUUUUCUUUACAUCCUUACCAACACUCAUGUUGAUAAUAGUCAUCCUAUCAGGUGUGAGGUGACAGAUAUCUCAUUGUGAUUUUUAUUUGCAUUUUCCUGACAAUAAGGAUGGUAAGCACCUUUUCAUGUACCUUUUGGCUAUUUGUAUGUCUUCUUUAGAGAAAUAUCUAUUCAUAUUCUUUGCCCAUUUUAAUCAGGUUGUUUGUUGCCAUUGAGAUAUAUAAUCAGUGUUCUUGUUUUAAACCAUUAAAUCUUUUAGUAGCUAAUACAACUAUAGAUAUUUGGGAUCCACCCAGGGACCUAAAAGAGGUGUGCUGCUAUAACCAAAAACCUAAAUUUUGGUAGUGGCUUUGGGUGGAAAUGUUAAUAAAAGAAAAAAUGGCUUCAAAGAUAGUCCUAGGGGAAACCUGAUGACCCU